AGUUUAAUUUAAUAUUCAGCUUGUGUGAGUUGUUCAACGGUGGUUAAUCAUUUUAUAUUCUAUGAAAAAAAAAAAUAAUAAAUAAAUUAUUAAAUAAAUAUUGAUAAAUAAAUAAUACAUUAAAGUAUAAUUUAAAAAAGUAAUUAUUAAAAUUUAUUACAUCAAAAUGACGAAAUCAUCAAUGACUGGUAUUCCUCAUAUUGAGAUGGAAUCAUCUUGUUGUUGUGAAAUUCGAACCGCAAGUUUAGCCAUUGGAUAUUCUAGUCUUUUUUUAUCAUUAAUGAGCAUUUUUCAUUUUUCAAUUAAAUUAUUACCAAGUGACAGAAUUUUAUCUUUACAAAUGAUUGAACUUUUUCCAUUUUGUUUUAUAUUUUAUGGUUUUUUAUUUGCUAAAAUAUUCAUUGCAUAUUUAUUGAUAAGAGGUAUCACAAAGGAAAAACCGAGUCUUAUGUUUCCAUGGAUUUAUGUCAAUUAUGUGGGUCUUAUUGUUUUGACAUUAUUGUUUAUUAUUGUGACAUUUAUAAAAUUAAUUUUUAUAUUUACAAAAGGCGUAUGGAUUGGAUCUUUUUUAGUUUUUAUAAUACUUGGAAUAAUAGUAAUUGGUUUUUUUGUUUAUGCAUUUUUAACAGUCGUUGCUCAUUGUCAAAAACUUCUUUCAAUUCAAACUGAUGAAUUGGAACAAAGACUCAUUCAGACAAAUUCUCCAUAAUUUCAUUUUAAAAUUAUUUUUAUCAUUUUAUUAAUAUUUUUUAUUUUUAUAUUAUUGCCUUAUUAAAUUCAAUACAGUAAUUUAUUUGUUUUGAUUUUUCGGUUGUCUCAAGACAUGUCGUGAAUUUACUAAAGAUAAAAAAAUUAAACAAUAGUAAUUGUUUAAUUAAAUUUUUAAAAUUCUUGAUUAACAUUGAUUUAAAUAAUUUAAUAAUUUUCAAUCGUAAAAUUUUUUUAAUAAUAUUUUUAAUAAUUAUUGAAUUUAAGAAAAAAAAAAAACUAAAAUAAUUUAAUCUAAUAUUUUUUUGUACUGAUUUUGUUACUAUUUUUAAUAUUUUAUUAAAUUAAUUAUUACAAUAAUUAAUACAACAAUUUAUUUAUAAUAAAAAAUUUACUUAAAAUUAACAAUAUGGUUUUUUUUUUUUUUUUAAUUUUUGUAAUAUUUAAUAAAUAAAAUGGUACUUGAACAACAUUGUGUUGAAUAUUUCAAAUAAGUAUUUGAUGUUGAUUGAAAUAUACCUACACAUGAGAUUUAAAAAAAAAAAAAAAACCUUCCUGAUGACAAACAUAUUUCAUAACAUCACAGAAUUUAAUUUGCUUUUUUAUUUUUAUAUUUGGUUUUACAAUUUGAUUUUAACAUCUCAUGGAAAAAUUUUUACGCAGCUAGGAAGAGAUAAAUAAAAAGGGAAAAAAAAAUAGUUUCAAUGACGCAUGUGUAUAACAAGAAGAAAUUAAAUCAAUAUUUCAGGAAAAGAUCCCUAAAACAUUUUAGAACAAGGCUAAAUAUAGUUUCGUUAAAUGACGCGUUAUUUUUGAAAGUCAAAAUUAUUAUUAUAAUAUUUUUACAUCUAUUAUUCUAUACACAAAAAGGCAGAGAAAUCAAUAUCUAAAUUAUUUUUCAACUUGUAAUAAUUAUUAAAAAAAAUUAUAAUUCAACAUUAACAAAUUCCUUUUUACAUUGACAAUAAUAAUUUUUAUAAUAACCAAAUUAAUUUAAAUUGAUAAAAAUUUAUUAAUUUAAAAAUGUAAAACGACAUUAAAUUUAUAUAUAUUUUUAAAUAAUUUUUUAUAUUUUUAUAACAAUAAAAAUAUAAAAAAAUAAUUAAUUAAAUUAUCCUCAAUUUAUAAAUGAUACUUUGAAAUAUAAAAAUACUUUUAUAUUCAAUGACAAAAGAAAUUCAAUUCUCGUUUGUAUAUUGAUUUUUAUUCAGUUAUAUUUUAACGAAUUUUGUUAGAAAAAAAAAAAAUAUAUUAUAUAGAAACACGUAAUCUAUGAUGUAACAUAUAAAAAUAUAUAAUCAUAAAAUUACAGCUGGAUAAAGUUUUAGAGGGUCCCCCAUAAUAUAUUAUUUUUUUUUGAUUAUUAUUUGUAUCCCUACUUGUGACUAUCCAUUGCUAUCCACCAGAAUUUUGAUACUAGAUGUAUUCUGUGUCUCAAUGCCAAUGAGGGGAAAAGAGAUGAAUAAUAAAAGAAAACAACUGAAAAUUUACAAAAGCCAAACAAGACAGUGUGGGCUGUUGGUAGCGUCUGGAAGGCGGAAGCAUCAUCAUUUGUUGGAGAGACGACAACCAGACUACAACGUAAUUGAACAUAACUAUCCAUUUAGUCAUACACGCAUUUAACGAAAAAAAAAUUCAUCUACAUUCUUUAUCAAAUAUUUUUGAUAAAAAAAAUAAAUCGACAUGGGCGUAUUACCUGGAAUUCCAAAGAGAAUACAAGUAUCAUCAUGCUGCUGCUUCAGUGUGAGAACUGCUUGUUUAAUCUUCGGCUGGUUCGGCCUCUUUACAGCAGUCAUGAAUUUAUUUUCACUCAGUACGGGAAAUUUCGAAAAGAAUCUUCCACAAGAAUAUCAAGAAAUGGCUUCUAAAUUAGUUCCUAAACUUUUUAUGACUAACUUGAUGUCUGGACUUAUGAGUGGUGCAUUGUUAGUAGGUGUUUUGAAGAACAAACCAAAGUUGAUGUACCCAUGGAUUUAUAUGCAAUUCAUAGGGAUUGUUAUUCUUCUAAUAGUGGAAAUUAUAAUUCCAUUUGUUGUGGUAGCUGGUUUUAUCUCAAAUGAUAAUAAUGAUAUGUCAGUAUUAGGUGCUGUUCUUUUGUUCAUUGGAUAUGUAAUAUUUUGCGUAGCCAUAGAUGCUUUAGUAAUUUACUUAGUUGCACCUGUCGUUGUUCACUGUCGUCAACUUUCCGAGAUGAAAAGAAAUCAAUUGUCACAAAGUGCUUAAUCAACUACUCACUUUAAAAUACUUAAUUAAGUUUAAUUUUAGCUUUUAUUUUUUUUCAAAUUUAUCUUUAAUUUUUUUUAUAAUUAUCUAUAAUUUUUCAAAACAAAAAUUUAUUUCUAACAAUAAUUAAUAAUUAUUCCAAAAUAUGAACAAAAAAAAACCAUAAUAUUUUUUAAUUUAACUAUCAUUAUUAUUAUUAUUAUUGAUGUUAUUUAACUUGUUGAAAAAAAAAGCACAAAAAAUUAUAUUGUCUGUAGAAUGUUAAAUUCUUAAUUAUUCAAAAAUCAAAAAAAAAUUGUAUUUUUCAAAGUUAAAUAAAGUAUAUUAUAUGUCAUAAAUAA